rnacentral:rRNA from 1 species
GACGAACGCUGGCGGCGUGCUUAACACAUGCAAGUCGAACGGAAAGGCCCUGCUUUUGUGGGGUGCUCGAGUGGCGAACGGGUGAGUAACACGUGAGUAACCUGCCCUUGACUUUGGGAUAACUUCAGGAAACUGGGGCUAAUACCGGAUAGGAGCUCCUGCUGCAUGGUGGGGGUUGGAAAGUUUCGGCGGUUGGGGAUGGACUCGCGGCUUAUCAGCUUGUUGGUGGGGUAGUGGCUUACCAAGGCUUUGACGGGUAGCCGGCCUGAGAGGGUGACCGGCCACAUUAGGACUGAGAUACGGCCCAGACUCCUACGGGAGGCAGCAGUGGGGAAUAUUGCACAAUGGGCGGAAGCCUGAUGCAGCAACGCCGCGCGCGGGAUGACGGCCUUCGGGUUGUAAACCGCUUUCGCCUGUGACGAAGCGUGAGUGACGGUAAUGGGUAAAGAAGCACCGGCUAACUACGUG